CUCCCAGAAAUAUGGCAGUGCCACAGAGAGUGUGUCUCAUUGGAGUACUUGAGCUUCAAUUCAUCCAACACAAAGGAAAAACGUCUUCACAAAUACAAAAGUGUUUCAAGGAAAAAUUGAAGUCACUCCUGCCCACAUCCACUGCCCAGUGUAACCGCCCUUAAAGAUUGCUGUGUAUUUGUGUACUAAUUUUUCUGUGUUUAUAAAAUCAUUCAUAUAUUUAUUAAUAACAUGUUUAGAAGAAAUCUCUGCAUUAACCUCAGGGCACACAGCUGUCUUUGAUCGCCCCCAACUCCUCAGAAUGUCCUGCCUCCAUUUCACUCUCCCACAGCUGACUUUCUCCCAUGCUUAGGCCCCCCAAGAGCACCUGCUGAAAAACUACUUCCAACCUUAAGCUCAGGCCCUGACUCACAGCCCUUUAUUCUAACAGAGCCCCUAGGUGUUUGGGCAGAGGUAGGUGGGUAUUACGAGGGAAGCGGGAGGAGGACAGUGAGGCCCCUUAAGUUCUUUGUCCUGGCCAGGCGGCUGCCCUCCUGCAUUACAGGUCUCCACAGGAUAGGUCCCAAUUCCCAACUACUUUCAAUUGGUGGGGUGUGGAUUGGCAGGAUGGGUUAAUGCUCUGCCACAACUUUCUCACUUUAUAAUGGGAGCUGUAUGGUAAAUUCACCUGAUAGUAAUAACUUAAGCAUAUCCUGAGAAUGAUCCUGUAUGGCAGACGCACCUGAAUCCUGAAUGUGUGUUUGAAGUUCUGAGCUAAGAAAUCUGGGGGUGGCCAACACAGAGAUUCAUUUCUUAUUUAUGAAGAAGCUGUGAACCCCCAGCCGUCCCGUCCCAUGGAAUGUGGGCUAUACAGGGGUUCAAGGCCCUGUAUUUUGGGUUAAAUGAAGACUGCCAGGUGGAGGUUGUUAGGGGGAGGCUGUGAAGUGAAAAUACUAUAUAAGGCCGGGCGCGGUGGCUCACACCUGUAAUCCCAGCACUUUGGGAGGCCGAGGUGGGCGGAUCAUGGGGUCAAGAGAUCGAGACCAUCCUGGCCAACAUGGUGAAACCCCGUCUCUACUAAAAAUACAAAAAAGUUAGCUGGGCAUGUUAGCACGUGCGUGUAGUCCCAGCUACUCGGGAGGCUGAGGCAGGAGAAUCGCUUGAACCCAGGAGGUGGAGGUUGCAGUGAGCCGAGACCGCGCCACUGCACUCCAGCCUGGCGACUGAUCGAGACUCCAUCUCAAAAUAAAACCCUCUAUAAAUUGUGUGACUUUAUUUUGCAAGUGGUUGUGGUUCUGUUGUCCAGCCCACUGUCGUUGGGUCUUGUUCCCCAAUUGUAAGCCCUCAAUAAAACCUCAUGUCUCAUU
rnacentral:lncRNA from 1 species